CACUUCCUUGCCUAGGAAAAUUGUUUGUAUUGACACUUGACGUGCAAUGUGUGUAUGAAAUACAGUAAGGAAGAUUAAAUAGAAGAAAACAAACUUUUCUGGAUUUUCUCUUUUGUUACAUGUGUAACAAGACACGAUGAACUUGAAUAUUUUGCAACACAGAAUGCACGAAAUAACUGCACCGGAAAGACAUGUAGAGGACAGCAUAUAAAACUCAACAUUCUACAAAUAUCAAAACUUUCAUAUGUCAUUGGGUUUUAAAAAAUAAUGACUAAUGGUCCAACAAUUACU
rnacentral:lncRNA from 1 species